AUUUACGUUGCGAACGUAGCUAUGUGCACACAUUGCGCGAAGUUGCUUAGAAAAAACAAUGCACAUCUCUUAAUCAACGUUUAAACUAGCAAAAAUACACAAAUACAUUUAUAUUUAAAUAAAGUGUAAUACAAAUUCCUUUGUAAUAAUUGUUCACAUAUUAACAAAGUUAAAAAAAUGUCUGACUUUUAAGCAAGCUGUUAAUACACACACACACACACUCGCACGCACAAUAAAAAUGCCACUCAGGGUUGCAUUGCGCGGGAAGCGGGUGGCAGCGCUGCCACACCAUGUGGCAACGCCAAGAUUCGCCGCAGUUGAGAAAACAGAAUUAUAUUAAUUGCUGAAAGAAAUAAUUAUAACAUUGUUUAGCAAAAGUUUAAAAAAUUUAGAACGUGUACAGAAAAUAACCAGAUGUAAGCUGUGUAAAUAAAGUUAAAGUGCAAAAUGAAAAUUCUAUGGAAAUAUACAGAAUCAUGGAAUAAUUUUUAACUGUUCUUAAAUAGAGCUGUGUUGAAGUCAUAUAAAGACGACACAAGUAGUCGGAUUAAGACGAUUUAUUAAUGGACUAUAAGAUACAGCUGCCUUUGCAGAAACGUAAAUUGGGCCGAAAGGAAAACUUUGAUCAUUUAGACGUUUGCUUUACGCGCAGCAAUCGUGGUAAUAAUUUGCUGACCAUCAAUGGGAAGCCCUUCACCCUGAACCGUAGGAUCAAGGACGCCUGCUACUGGGAGUGCGUCAAGCUGCGCUGCAAAUAUAUCAAAUGCACGGCGAGAGUUGUGACCAAGUCAAAUCAGAUAUCCGCUCUGCGCGGACACCACAAUCAUCCAUAGAAAGCAAGACACAAAUAAAUAUGACUUAUGAUCAAAUUUAAAAGAAAUUAAUUGCAAUUCUUUAUACUUAUAGGCAAACAGUCUAUAAGUCAAAGCUAACGAUUUUCGGUCUUUGCAGAUGACCUUUGUGUGCCGCGCAGCGGCAGCAGCUGCUA